AGCGGUUUCACCUGCAGAGGGCAGAGUUUGUCUCACAAAUACAUCUCUUCAGAGGCUGUGUGUGGCAGCUAGAGCAACACGACGAUAUUCAUCCGAAAUCCGACCAACAUCGAGACGUGAUGUACAAGGACAAUAGUCUACGCAAGACGUGAUGCACAGGACCGUGAGGACAGUGGCAGUGGUAAUGCUGGAGGCGGAGCUUCACCUCCUCUGUUGUAACAGCGCUGGACUUUGGUUCCUGAGGGUGCAGCUCAGGAGGCAUGUUGACUAUGAAGAGUGACAUCCAAGUGCUUGAGAUGCACUUAUGAUCAUGAAUGUGAGGGUGAAGGAGAGAUGGAUUCUGAAUACGCAGGAGGGGGUUCCACCGGACAAGCCUCGGGCUUCAGAUUCAACUGCAAAAGCAGGAAUUAAUCAUCAUUAC